AUAGCCAGCUGGACCUGGCACCCAGACCACUUCAUUAAAGGACCACUAUAGUGCCAGGAAAACAUACUCUUUUUCCUGGCACUAUAGUGCCCUGAGGGUGCCCCCACCGUCAGGGACCCCCUCCCGCCAGGCUCUGAAAAGGGGUAAAAACUUACCUUUUUCCAGCGCUGGGCGGGGAGCUCUCCUCUUCCGAUCCUCCUCCUCUCCGCCCAUUCGGCUAAAUGCACACGUGCGGCAAGAGCUACGCGCGCAUUCAGCCGGUCGCAUAGGAAAUCACG